GGUUCCUUUUUCUCCACACCCUCUCCAGCAUUUAUUGCACAACCAGAAAUUAAUUCCACAAAUUUUUCUUGCGUGCUUACCAUGUGCUGGGCACUGUUACUGACCAGAGAUGAGCAAAACAGCCGCAGAUUUCCUGCUCUCAGAGUCUGCAUUCUGCUGGGAGGGAGACGGUCAAUGGACAAUUUACCUGAGUAAAACAUAUAGAAUGUCAGAUGAUAAUGUAUGCCUUGGGGAGAAAUUAAGCAAGAAAGGAGCUUGCUGUUGUAAGUACAGCUGUCAGGAGGUUCCUCACUGACAGAUGAGUUUCAGGCACAGACACAAAAAAUGAGAGUUGCCAUGGCAAUGUUGAGAAAGAGCCUCUCAGACAGAGAACAGCCAGUGCAAAAGCCUAACAAUGCCAGUGGUUUGAGGGAAUUGAUGGAAGUCAUUAAACCUGAGACAGUGAGGCAGAAAGUAAUAAGGGAGGUGAGAAGCCAGUACCCAGUGAGGCCAGUACCCAGCAGUUUUAAUAAAACAUAGUGGUAGAGGGGAGAAGCCGGCUGGAUGGCGGGUGCGGAAGUGGGGUCAGAAUCCGGUAGGAACCUGAAACGUCUUGAAGUUGUCUGAAGAUUAUUCAGUCACUAUGUCAAGCGACAGAGAUGUUUCUCUUUCUUCAUUUGAUGAAGAUCAGGGGUCUAAACUUAUCCAAAAAGCUAGAGAGGCACCAUUUGUCCCCAUUGGAAUGGCAGGUUUUGCAGCAGUUGUUGCAUAUGGAUUAUAUAGAUUGAAGAGCAAGGGAAAUACUAAAAUGUCUGUUCACCUGAUCCACAUGCGUGUGGCAGCCCAAGGCUUUGUUGUGGGAGCAAUGACUCUUGGUAUGGGCUAUUCCCUGUAUCAAGAGUUCUGGGGAAAACCUAAACCUUAGAAGAGGAGAUGCUGUCUUGGUCUUGGUGGUGGUGCUUGCUUUAGUUAGACAUCUCACAUUGAGGUUAUAUGUUUAUGCGGAAAAUAAGUUGUUUGGGUCAGACAAGAACAUGGUAAUUUGAACAUUGGCUUCCUUUCUUGCAGGCCUGAUUUGCCUGGUGACCAAGUGACUGCUGACUAGUUCACUAGCUAGGUCAUUCAGGAGAGUCAGAUCCGCACCGAAGAAACACGUCGCUUUUAAAUACACUUGAUAACGGUACCUGUCCACCUUCUGAAACCCUUCUGUUGAAAUUAGUUCUAAAGAAGACAACAUGCCAGUCCUGAAAAUGCUCCCAGUUGCUGCGGAAUAUCAUAUGCUUUUGAUGUAAUAUAGGAAUCCUAUUUACCCCCGUUAAUUUAACUUUCUGACUGUCUUGUGGACUGAGUACCGUUUUAAGGGCUGGUUGGCUCUUGAGAAACCCUUCAGAACAGUGCAUGGAAUACAGCAUUAUAAACCUCCCUGCAAGUCUGUGUGUGUUUUUAAACCAAACCUAAAAAGCUGGUAACAGAGCCACUUUGAAGUAGUAUUUAUUUUAGAAGCAUAGUUAUAAACAUGAGAGUAACUUAAAUUGUAGAUCCCUUUUAGCUCUUUUGUAAUUGCAGAAUUAUAUUUUGCUGCUGUUAGAAUAAUUUUAAAUUAUUUUCAAACAUGUAUUUUAAGUGCUAAUGCAAAGGUAAAUGAAAAACACUUUUUAAAUGUGUGCAGUAUGUUUAUUUUCUCCAAAAGAAUCAUCAACUAAAUAAAAUGCCUAUAAUGGAAGUCAUUGAUGAGCAAGCUGGCUUGGUCAGACAUAAUACAAACUUUGGCAUAUCACAGAAUGCUUUGUUGUACUUGUGAAAUUCUCUAGUCUAACCUGAAUUUACAUUCCAUGGUGAUAACAUGGUAAAUGUAGUGUUAUUAAAGUAAAUGAACACAU